AUUGAACGCUGGCGGCAGGCCUAACACAUGCAAGUCGAACGGUAACAGGAAACAGCUUGCUGUUUCGCUGACGAGUGGCGGACGGGUGAGUAAUGUCUGGGAAACUGCCUGAUGGAGGGGGAUAACUACUGGAAACGGUAGCUAAUACCGCAUAACGUCGCAAGACCAAAGAGGGGGACCCUCGGGCCUCUUGCCAUCGGAUGUGCCCAGAUGGGAUUAGCUUGUUGGUGGGGUAACGGCUCACCAAGGCGACGAUCCCUAGCUGGUCUGAGAGGAUGACCAGCCACACUGGAACUGAGACACGGUCCAGACUCCUACGGGAGGCAGCAGUGGGGAAUAUUGCACAAUGGGCGCAAGCCUGAUGCAGCCAUGCCGCGUGUAUGAAGAAGGCCUUCGGGUUGUAAAGUACUUUCAGCGGGGAGGAAGGGAGUAAAGUUAAUACCUUUGCUCAUUGACGUUGCCCGCAGAAGAAGCACCGGCUAACUCCGUG
rnacentral:rRNA from 1 species